rnacentral:ncRNA from 1 species
CAGCGGAGCAUGCGGCUUAAUUCGACGCAACGCGAAGAACCUUACCAAGGCUUGACAUAUAGUGAAAAGUGGCAGAGAUGUCAUGUCCGCAAGGGCGCUAUACAGGUGGUGCAUGGUUGUCGUCAGCUCGUGUCGUGAGAUGUUGGGUUAAGUCCCGCAACGAGCGCAACCCUCGUUCUGUGUUACCAGCAUUUAGUUGGGGACUCACAGGAGACUGCCGGGGUCAACUCGGAGGAAGGUGGGGAUGACGUCAAAUCAUCAUGCCCCUUAUGUCUUGGGCUGCACGCAUGCUACAAUGGCCGGUACAAAGUGCUGCGAGAUCGCAAGAUUGAGCGAAUCACAUAAAGCCGGUCUCAGUUCGGAUUGAGGUCUGCAACUCGACCUCAUGAAGUCGGAGUUGCUAGUAAUCGUAGAUCAGCAACGCUACGGUGAAUACGUUCCCGGGGCUUGUACACACCGCCCGUCACGUCACGAAAGUCGGUAACACCCAAAGUUAGUGGCCCAACCGCAAGGGGGGAGCUACCUAAGGUGGGAUCGGUGAUUGGGACGAAGUCGUAACAAGGUAGCCGUACCGGAAGGUGCGGCUGGAUCACCUCCUUU